UACGUAGGUGGCAAGCGUUGUCCGGAAUUAUUGGGCGUAAGCGCGCGCAGGCGGUUUCUUAAGUCUGAUGUGAAAGCCCACGGCUCAACCGUGGAGGGUCAUUGGAAACUGGGGAACUUGAGUGCAGAAGAGAAAAGCGGAAUUCCACCGUGUAGCGGUGAAAUGCGUAGAGAUGUGGAGGAACACCAGUGGCGAAGGCGGCUUUUUGGUCUGUAACUGACGCUGAGGCGCGAAAGCGUGGGGAGCAAACAGG
rnacentral:rRNA from 1 species